rnacentral:lncRNA from 1 species
ACAACAGGAGUUUGAAAUAACACAGGAAUACACCAAAGAUAAGUCGCAAGACAUGGACUGGUAAUGCAGACUUGGAUGUCUUGUGUAUAAUGACAAUAGCUGAAGCUCUACAGAUAGAGGAAUUCUGUGGUAGCCAGCCUUCAAGAUCGCUCCCCAUGAUCCCCACCUACUGUUAUUGACAACCUUGUGCUGUCUGUCCCCUCCCACAUCAUACCAGGGUUGGUAUGGUGGAAGUGGUGGUAUGUCACUCCCAAGCUUAGGUUCUAAAAUAACUGAGGCAGCUGUCUGGGUUGCUCUCUCUCUCUGAGAGAAGCCAGUUGCCAUGUCAUAAGCAGCCCUUACUACACAGAUAACUACGUGGAGAGGAAGUGAGGCCUCCAGCCAACAGCCAGCAAGGAAGUGAAGCCUGCCAACAACCAUGAGAGGGAGGCUGGAAGCAGACCUGCAGUGCACUCAAGCUUCCAGGAUCAAUCACAGUGGGAGCAAGCCAACUGCCACAUAAUGGAAGGCACUCAAGCAACCCUAUGGAGAGUCCCACAAGGUAACUGAAGGUUCUGGCCAAAAGAUAGUGAAGAACUGAGGCUUCAUGUCAACAGCUGAGUGAGUGAACUUGAGAGCAGAUUCUCCAGCCCCAGUCAAGCCUUUGGAUUACUGCAGGCUUGGUCAAUCAUCUUUAUUUUGAUUUUAUGAGAGACCUCACUCCUGAACCACCAGAAGAGUCUAUAGUAGUCAUCCUAAAGCUGAAAGACGUUACACUUAAGGAACUACUACAUACAAGAAGUCUCUCCUGGAUCAUAUUUGUAAUAGAUGCCAACAUCAUGGAUUUCCAGCUGAUGUUGUGACUUUGGAGAGGAUAUGGAUGGGAAGAGGUUACUUGCAGGGAAAGACAAUUCCCAUGUCAUGAAGACACUUCACCGGCCAAGUGGGAAGGCUCACAUCAUGAGCCUAAGGAAACUGAUGCUCAAAGGUGCUUAUUUAAGGUCACACAGCUAAUAAGUGCUAGAGUUAGGAUUCAGAGUCAGACAUUUCAAUUCUAGAGACCGUACUCCUAAACAUUACCCUAUAAUGUCGUACAACAAUCCAGUGAAAUAGGUUAAUAUUAAUCAUCCUCAUUUCCCCAAAUUGGAAAAUGGGGGUAAUAAUCAUCCCUAUUUUACAAAUGAGGAAGUUGGACAUCAAGAAGUAUGGGAGAGUUAGGAUUUAAAUCCAGAUAUUCUGACUGCAGAGACUAGCCUCUUAGCCACUUAGCCAUAUUGCCUUCUCUGACUUAUAAUGUUAGUAAGAAGAGUUGGCUGGGCGCAGUGGCUCACACUUGUA